CUCGGGUGUCUUCGCAGAGACAGAUGAGGUGGGCUGGCGAUUCCCUAGCCUCAGAUGGCUCUGCCACCAGCCAGCUCUGUGAUCCUGGCCGAUGGGGUGCCAGGCAUUAGAAACCUUCCCUCCAAUCCUCACCAUGUCUCCAUUUUGCCAAAGAAGAAACUGAGGUUAAGGUCGCGAUGCUCUGGCCAGCAUCACAGGUAAACGAUUUUGGCAGUGCCCGGAGAAAGAUAGAAGUAAGACCUAAAGAGGAACUUUCCGCAUGUUAUGGGAGAGCCCCUGGGGCGAGGAGGCGAGGGCAGCCUUCCCCAGGCCAAGGGAGCAGCCAUCGCUCUUGGAUCUGUUUUUCCUCAAGCGUCUGUCCUGUGGGGCCUAGUCCCCAAGCGGCAGUCCUGGACCUAACGGGAGAAGGGGCUGGGGGAAGAGGGCGCACCCCCAGCCCGGGACCCACAGCAGCCCUAGCCAGUCCCCCACUCUCUCCCUCUGUAGGGGCCUCUCUCUGAGAUCGGGUCCUCCUCCUGCAGGGCAGCAGAGUGGAAGCCAGGGCCUGGGACCCUCUGGCUGGGCAAGGAGGGACUGGAGUCCGGCUCCCGGUGACCCCGUCCCCAGUGCCAGCGGUGGGGUCGCCUGUGGCGGCCCGGACAGGCCACGGGUCCCUCUCCCCAAGUCCCAUUACGUUGUAUUUAUGUUUCAUUUUAUAGUUUUUUUUUCCUCCUCCCUUAUUAUUGUCUCACUCUGGGGGAGGCAAAGGAUAUAAUAUAUUCAUCUUUAUUAUACCAAAUCUGUGUGAAGCAUUUAAUAAAACGCUGUUUCCACA
rnacentral:lncRNA from 1 species